rnacentral:rRNA from 1 species
GACGAACGCUGGCGGCGUGCCUAAUACAUGCAAGUAGAACGCUGAAGGAGGAGCUUGCUUCUCUGGAUGAGUUGCGAACGGGUGAGUAACGCGUAGGUAACCUGCCUGGUAGCGGGGGAUAACUAUUGGAAACGAUAGCUAAUACCGCAUAAGAGUAGAUGUUGCAUGACAUUUGCUUAAAAGGUGCAAUUGCAUCACUACCAGAUGGACCUGCGUCGUAUUAGCUAGUUGGUGGGGUAACGGCUCACCAAGGCGACGAUACAUAGCCGACCUGAGAGGGGGAUCGGCCACCCUGGGACUGAGACACGGCCCAGACUCCUACGGGAGGCAGCAGUAGGGAAUCUUCGGCAAUGGACGGAAGUCUGACCGAGCAACGCCGCGUGAGUGAAGAAGGGUUUCGGAUCGUAAAGCUCUGUUGUAAGAGAAGAACGAGUGUGAGAGUGGAAAGUUCACACUGUGACGGUAUCUUACCAGAAAGAGACGGCUAACUACGUG